GGACUGGGGCACGGUAAGCAAUGACACAUGAACCUGCUCUGAAGGCAGGAAGAGAAUGGAUGAGAGAAGCAAGGAGAGACAGCAGGGAGGAGGGAGCUCUUAAGGAUCACUCUGAAGCAGUUUAAAUCAAAAAGGAAAAAAGCAAUGCAGUGAGCAAAAACGUGCGAGGAAAGGAAAGAAAGUAGCGUCAGGGAAGGAGAGAGAAGUGGAGAAAAGGAUAGAGAGUGGUAAGCAGGAGCGAGGCGGUGAGGGAGGGCAGAUUAGAGAGCAUUUUACACUCUGAGCUCUUUAUCCAUCAACACAAUCUGCAAAGCUUUGAAGAGAGAAGAGAUGUGCAAGCUUUAAUCCAGAACUGUUUGCUCGGCACUGCACAGCAUGCUGUGUGUGUGUGUGUGUGUGUGUGUGUGUGUGUGUGUGUGUGUGUGUGUGUGUGUGUGUCUGCAGAAUCAGCUCUGUCAGUCAAGCAAAGCAAAGCGGUUCAGUUGAGCACCCAAAACCAACCGACAUCGCACAAAACCACACAGACUGAAAUGCAUUUCUACAGAAGCUGAUGCAGAGUGGCAAGUCAGAGAUGACAUUAAAGUCUGCUGCAACAUUUUGGAGCAUCUCUGAAGAGCAAGUUGGCUCAGCAUUGCUACAUGGCAAUGUGGACAAUUUUGACACUGUGUCCUGAUUUGUUUCUCCUAAAAGAUCUGCAGAUGUAUCAUUGCACUCUUACUGUAUAAUAUGUAUAUCAGACUCAUGAUGGACUGUUUAAUAAAUUAUCAAAAUCGAUGCAGCAGAA